CCUACGGGUGGCAGCAGUGGGGAAUAUUGGACAAUGGGCGAAAGCCUGAUCCAGCCAUGCCGCGUGUGUGAAGAAGGCCUUCGGGUUGUAAAGCACUUUCAGUGGGGAAGAAAGCCUUGGGGCUAAUACCCUCGAGGAAGGACAUCACCCACAGAAGAAGCACCGGCUAACUCCGUGCCAGCAGCCGCGGUAAUACGGAGGGUGCGAGCGUUAAUCGGAAUUACUGGGCGUAAAGCGCGCGUAGGCGGUCUGAUAAGCCGGUUGUGAAAGCCCCGGGCUCAACCUGGGAACGGCAUCCGGAACUGUCCGGCUAGAGUGCAGGAGAGGAAGGUAGAAUUCCCGGUGUAGCAGUGAAAUGCGUAGAGAUCGGGAGGAAUACCAGUGGCGAAGGCGGCCUUCUGGACUGACACUGACGCUGAGGUGCGAAAGCGUGGGUAGCAAACAGGAUUAGAUACCCUGGUAGUC
rnacentral:rRNA from 1 species